rnacentral:lncRNA from 1 species
CAAAGUGGACGUAGAACUCCCCCAUUUCCUGCCCAGGGCGGGUGAGGACCCUGCACACACACGGUGUGUUUGUGAGCUGUGCAGAGUGGGGUCUCCCUGGCAAUGGCCACAGCCUCCAGGGGCGCUGACACCUCCCGUCUAACUGGUAGACAGUUUCUGCCUCUUCUUGUUUGGGGAUUGGAGAGGGAAGUGCGUCUGGAUGACUACUAAGAUGAGGAGGCUGAGGCCUAGUGCUCCUAGCGGGCUUGGUCAAGAGCAGGAGGCGGAGGUGGUGGAAGGCUGUUUCCCUGCGAGAAUACACUGCAUCGAACACAGAACAAAAAGACUCACUACAACGCUGCAGCCACAAUAGUGUGUGAUUUCAAGUCUUAAAAACCAGAAUCACUUUCUUCUCUGGACUGGAAGCAUAUUUAUUUUGGCCGAAUAACAGAGUACACCAGUCAUCAUAAGAAGAAAAAUUCACAUUUAAAGUUUGGAAAGCAACAGGACAAAGGUCUGUCUUCAGUGGUGCGUAGACAUGCUCGUGAUUGAAUUGGAAAUAGUUCUCUUUCCUUCUCUCUGACUUCCUAACUGAAAAGCUGCAGCGUGGGGAGAAAGGCUGCUCAGAAGCCUGGAGCCAGAACACGCACCCCGGCUUUUGCAGGGCCGGCUCACUUGGUUAGAAUCAAAGGAAAAGCCUUGUUAUUUGGGAAGCUGGGCGUCCUCACCAAAUUAGGGGAUUUAAUUUGCAGAUAUCUAAGGAGUGCUUUGAAAUGAAAGAUGAACUAAAAUCUGCUCUGAGGCCCGUGAUUUUUCACCAGUGAAGGACUCUCUUGCUGCUGGACAUACAUGAAAAGCAUCAUCUGAUCUGAAACGCAAGUCCCUGCAAGACAGAGGAGAGACUUUAUAAACAUUUUAUACCAUUCUAUGAAAUCAAUUCGAUUCAGGGCUAGAAUUCAAGAAGUAAUCCAUGGGCAAGUAUAUCUGAUGGUAAACCCAAACGAUUAUAUUGUUAACCUCUUGUACUUUUUUUAAUUUUUUAUUAUUUGAUAUUAUUAUCACAAAAGUCGCUGGAACAGGAUCCAUGAGCUGCUUCUUCACUGCUUAGUGUUUUCAGAAGCUGAUGGAUUAUUAAGCUCCAAUUGAAUACUUGAUUUCCAAUGAUUCCAUUAAUUUUUCUGGUUUGUGGUAGGAUUUGAUUUACUUAUUUUGUACUUUAACACACCAAUAAAAAAUAGAUACUAAGAAAUAGUGAAA